UGAGUAACGCGUGGGUAACCUGUCCUGAAGUACGGGAUAACAGUUCGAAAGGGCUGCUAAUACCGUAUGUGGUCAAAGAGAGUUCGCUUUCUUUGACUAAAGGUGAAAACCGCUUCAGGGUGGGCCCGCGUCCCAUUAGCUAGUUGGUGGGGUAAUGGCCUACCAAGGCGACGAUGGGUAGCCGGCCUGAGAGGGUGACCGGCCACACUGGGACUGAGACACGGCCCAGACUCCUACGGGAGGCAGCAGUAGGGAAUCUUGCGCAAUGGGGGAAACCCUGACGCAGCGACGCCGCGUGAGUGAAGAAGGCCUUCGGGUCGUAAAGCUCUGUCCUUCGGGAAGAUAAUGACGGUACCGGAGGAGGAAGCCCCGGCUAACUACGUGCCAGCAGCCGCGGUAAUACGUAGGGGGCGAGCGUUGUCCGGAAUUACUGGGCGUAAAGGGUGCGUAGGCGGCCAGUUAAGUUGGAUGUGAA
rnacentral:rRNA from 1 species